rnacentral:rRNA from 1 species
UGUAGUCCUGGGGCAAGCACGUAGCUAGUCGCUGUAGGGAAAUCCGCAGCGGCGUUUUGACGCGAGGUGCGAUGCCAGCUGGCUUGACCGCCGGCCAGUCCCCGAUCCCAUGCCUCCAAGAAAAGCCCCUAGGCAGGAUUCGCGUGCCCGUACCGAUAACCGACACAGGCGGACAAGUAGAACAUACUGAGGUGAGCGAGCUAACUAUCGUUAAGGAACUCGGCAAAAUCGUCCCGUAACUUCGGGAGAAGGGACGCCCCGUUAGGGUGAACUCCAUACGGAGGGAGCCUGAGGGGGCCGCAGUGAAUUGGUCCAAGCGACUGUUUACCAAAAACACAGGCCUCUGCUAAGUCGUAAGACGACGUAUAGGGGCUGACGCCUGCCCGGUGCCGGAAGGUUACGCGGACUUGUUAGCGCUUCGGCGCGAAGCAGCGAAGCUAAGCCCCGGUAAACGGCGGCCGUAACUAUAACGGUCCUAAGGUAGCGAAAUUCCUUGUCGGGUAAGUUCCGACCUGCACGAAUGGCGUAACGACUUGGACGCUGUCUCAACGAUAGGCUCGGUGAAAUUAAAGUCUCGGUGAAGAUGCCGAGUACCCGCAGCUAGACGGAAAGACCCCGUGAACCUUUACUGCAACUUGAUAUUGGAGUCUGGGGUAUCUCGCUCAGGAUAGGUGGGAGACAGUGAACCGGCGACUUUGGUUGUCGGGGAGUCACCCUUGAGAUACCACCCUUGGUAGUCUGGGCUUCUAACACCGCGCCGUAAUCCGGGCGGUGAACAGUGUCAGGUGGGCAGUUUGACUGGGGCGGUCGCCUCCUAAAGAGUAACGGAGGCGCCCAAAGGUUCCCUCAGCACGGUUGGAAAUCGUGCGUAGAGUGUAAAGGCAACAAGGGAGCUUGACUGCGAGACCGACGGGUCGAGCAGGAACGAAAGUUGGGCUUAGUGAUCCGGCGGUAGCAAGUGGAAGCGCCGUCGCUCAACGGAUAAAAGGUACUCCGGGGAUAACAGGCUUAUCGGUUCCAAGAGUCCACAUCGACGAACCGGUUUGGCACCUCGAUGUCGGCUCGUCGCAUCCUGGGGCUGGAGUAGGUCCCAAAGCUUGGGCUGUUCGCCCAUUAAAGCGGUACGCGAGCUGGGUUCAGAACGUCGUGAGACAGUUCGGUCCCUAUCUGCUGUGGGCGUUGGAGAGUUGAGAGGAGUCAUCCCUAGUACGAGAGGACCGGGAUGAACGUGCCGCUGGUGUAUCUGUUGUCCUGCCAAGGGCAUCGCAGGUUAGCUACGCACGGGACGGAUAACCGCUGAAAGCAUCUAAGCGGGAAGCCGUCCUCGAGAUGAACUCUCCCAUCCCCUUGAGGGAGUAAGACCCCUGGUAGACCACCAGGUUGAUAGGCCGGCGGUGUAAGCGCAGUAAUGCGUUCAGCCGACCGGUACUAACGGGUCGAGGGCUUGAGGGA